GGCUCAGAUUGAACGCUGGCGGAAUGCUUUACACAUGCAAGUCGAACGGCAGCACGGACUUCGGUCUGGUGGCGAGUGGCGAACGGGUGAGUAAUAUAUCGGAACGUGCCCAAUAGUGGGGGAUAGCCCGGCGAAAGCCGGAUUAAUACCGCAUGAGACCUGAGGGUGAAAGCGGGGAUCGCAAGACCUCGCGCUAUUGGAGCGGCCGAUAUCAGAUUAGGUAGUUGGUGGGGUAAAGGCCCACCAAGCCAACGAUCUGUAGCUGGUCUGAGAGGACGACCAGCCACACUGGAACUGAGACACGGUCCAGACUCCUACGGGAGGCAGCAGUGGGGAAUUUUGGACAAUGGGCGCAAGCCUGAUCCAGCCAUUCCGCGUGCAGGAUGAAGGCCCUCGGGUUGUAAACUGCUUUUGUACAGAACGAAAAGGUUUCUACUAAUACUAGGAGCUCAUGACGGUACUGUAAGAAUAAGCACCGGCUAACUACGUG
rnacentral:rRNA from 1 species